rnacentral:rRNA from 1 species
GGCUGAAAUUCGCCUUCAUGAAGCCGGAAUUGCUAGUAAUGGCAGGUCAGCAUACUGCCGUGAAUACGUUCCCGGGCCUUGUACACACCGCCCGUCACACCAUGAGAGUUGGGAAUACCCGAAGCCUGUGAGCCGACAAACGAGGCAGCAGUCGAAGGUAGAAUCAAUGAUUGGGGUGAAGUCGUAACAAGGUAAC